GUGCAGCCGCCGCGGUAAUACGGAGGGUGCAAGCGUUGUCCGGAAUCACUGGGCGUAAAGGGUGUGCAGGCGGGGCAGCAAGUCGGAGGUGAAAGUCCAUGGCUUAACCAUGGAAGUGCCUUCGAAACUGUUGCUCUUGAGUCCCGGAAAGGCUGUCGGAAUUCGUGGUGUAGCGGUGAAAUGCGUAGAUAUCACGAGGAACACCAGAGGCGAAAGCGGACAGCUGGACGGGUACUGACGCUCAGGCACGAAAGCGCGGGGAGCAAACAGGAUUAGAUACCCGUGUAGUCC
rnacentral:rRNA from 1 species